rnacentral:lncRNA from 1 species
AAAUUUUCUAAAUGGACACUCUUUGCGGGAUGGAGGGAGUAUGUCUAUACCAUGGUUCAGAAUUAAAAAAUAUAUCUGUAGCUUAUAUGAGUUAUUAGAUAUUAAUUGCCAAAGCUACAAAGGUUUAACUUAAGGUAGUAGUAUAUAUCAUUCAUCUUAUUAAUUAUUACUAAUUGGAGGAUCAUUUUGAACCUUUCACAUGAAGCCACUUAGGAUCCUACGUGGACAGUCUAGAAAAAGAGAGAAUCCUAGAAAUUCUCUAAAAAAAUAAAAUAUCUAGCCAUCAAUUCGGUAAACUCAAUCAUCAUAACCAUUGGAUCUAUUUUUAUAUUUUCAAAAAUUCCCACCUACAUCAUUAUUUUUUUUGAAAAGGAACCUCCAUCAUUAUGAAAAUUUCCUAGAGUAACACCCUAAAUCUAUAUUAAAUUACCCACCUCUACAAUUACAUAAAAUAAACUAAAGCAACCCCUAAAUUAUGCACUUAUGCCAUUAUAUAAAAAAUUUAAAAUAAUUUAAA